rnacentral:rRNA from 1 species
GACGAACGCUGGCGGCGUGCUUAACACAUGCAAGUCGAACGGAAAGGCCCUGCUUUUGUGGGGUGCUCGAGUGGCGAACGGGUGAGUAACACGUGAGUAACCUGCCCUUGACUUUGGGAUAACUUCAGGAAACUGGGGCUAAUACCGGAUAGGAGCUCCGGCUGCAUGGUGGGGGUGGGAAAGUUUCGGCGGGGGGGGAUGGACUCGCGGCUUAUCAGCUUGUUGGUGGGGUAGUGGCUUACCAAGGCUUUGACGGGUAGCCGGCCUGAGAGGGUGACCGGCCACAUUGGGACUGAGAUACGGCCCAGACUCCUACGGGAGGCAGCAGUGGGGAAUAUUGCACAAUGGGCGGAAGCCUGAUGCAGCAACGCCGCGUGCGGGAUGACGGCCUUCGGGUUGUAAACCGCUUUCGCCUGUGACGAAGCGUGAGUGACGGUAAUGGGUAAAGAAGCACCGGCUAACUACGUG